CGGUAAUCACAUGAUGCAUGAUAAUAAAACAACAUGACGAAACAAAACACAUGCAUGGUAUGAAAUGUAAUAUCAUUAUUUUCGAAAAAACGAACAACGUGAAGAUUACAGAAGUACACAUUUCUCCCAUUGUGCCCUAACAAAGGUUCACUGUUUUGAGUUCAAGGUCAUAUAUAUGCACUUUCACCAGGAUGGUUUCCUAAACCUAAAGGUCAAAGGUCACUAGAGCUAUGGCCCCCUUCAUAGCAUCUCCA
rnacentral:lncRNA from 1 species